GACGGAGGGGGCUAGCGUUGUUCGGAAUUACUGGGCGUAAAGGGCGCGUAGGCGGAUUAGUAAGUUGGGAGUGAAAUCCCGGGGCUUAACCUCGGAACUGCUUUCAAAACUACUAGUCUUGAGUGAAGUAGAGGAUGAUGGAAUUUCUAGUGUAGAGGUGAAAUUCUUAGAUAUUAGAAGGAACACCGGUGGCGAAGGCGGUCAUCUGGACUUCAACUGACGCUGAGGCGCGAAAGCGUGGGGAGCAAACAGG
rnacentral:rRNA from 1 species